AUGCUGGCUUCAGCAGCGCGUGUACUAAAAUUGGAACAAUAUAAAGAAGAUUAGCAUGACCUCUGCACAAGGACGACACACACAUUUGUGAAUGGUUCCAUAUUUAA
ensembl:snRNA U6 U6 spliceosomal RNA